UACGGGGGGGGCAAGCGUUGUUCGGAAUUACUGGGCGUAAAGGGCUCGUAGGCGGCCAACUAAGUCAGACGUGAAAUCCCCCGGCUUAACCAGGGAACUGCGUCUGAUACUGGAUGGCUUGAGUUUGGGAGAGGGAUGCGGAAUUCCAGGUGUAGCGGUGAAAUGCGUAGAUAUCUGGAGGAACACCGGUGGCGAAGGCGACAUCCUGGACCAACACUGACGCUGAGGCACGAAGGCCAGGGGAGCAAACGGG
rnacentral:rRNA from 1 species